AGCUUGCGCUGACCCUGGAGCCCACCCGCCCGCCGUGAAUAAAUCCACGAGUAAAAAUCUUGGGCUUUCAACGCCGCCCGCCAGGCAGCACUAAUGGCGGUUUUGUAGCCCUGAGAAGGUUGAUUUUGGACUUGUGUUGUAACCUAAUUUCUUUCUCCUUUUGUUCCUGGCUGGAGAGCCUGUGUGAUCUCUGGACCUAGUUCAUCAUUUUGCCUUCUCUGUGACUAUUGGAGGGCCCUGUUACCAGACUACCAACUUUCCAUAGUGGACAAAUAACGAACGCCGAAAAACAGUGAAAUCAUCAAGGCUGAGGCUCAUCCCUCAGAAGGAUACUGGGAGGAAUGUGAAUGUCAGAGAACAGCAUGACAAGCCAUAACAAUCACAAGACCAAAUGUGUAGCCUCUGUGAUGCAAAUUAUAUUUAACCAGCUCUGGGGACUGAAUAUGGAUUGGUGCUUUGCAAAAAGACCUGAAGUCUGUGGUAGUCUUGAAAGACGUUGACUUAUGUCUUCUCUUACUAAGAAAGAGAUUACUACCAUUCUGGAUAGCAUUAUUGUUCCAAGCAUGUGGUAAGGUUUUUUUGAUUAUUUAUGAAAAGGAUACAUUGAGGAUGAAGUAAUAACCUAUACUGGGAAUGAACUAGCAACUACUGUAAUCACUGAACAAUUUUAAUCCUCCCUUUCACAACCAUCAGAUAUGUUUUAUAAUUUUUCAAAUUCAUAUUCGAUAUACUAUCUUUUUCUUACAAUGCCUGUGAUGCUAACCAGUAUUCUCCUGUUGCAGUGGGCUUGGACCCUAGCAGGCUGUAAUUGUGGUCAAGAUUAGACAACCCAUGUUAGACACAGAGCACCUGAAUGAACACAGACCUAAGCUGCAAAUGCUAGAACAGAUCAGUGAAGAAUCAACCAAGAAUUUUCUUGACCAAGUUUUUGAAAGGAUAAACUACUAAAUAUAUAUUAUCUAUGCUGUAAGCAAAAUCUAAUUUCUGCUUUGCACAGACUGUUUUGUGAUGUCUUAAAAGAAGAAAGUCCUCAGCUCUAACUCCUGGUGCACAGCUGGACUCAAACUUCCUUAAAAGCGAAUGUGAGAUCUUUGUUUCAGCUUUGACCAGCAGAUGGGUCUGAGUUUACAAAGUUAAGUCAGUUUGGAUUCCAUAUUGUUAUUUGGUUUCAUUACUCUAUUGCUAAUUAUAAUCAAUUAUAAAUAGGAGCUUUCUAGGACUUGAUUUAGAUCUACAGGUUUGGGGGUUUCUUUCCACAUUGUUUUUCUUAGUGAAGAUGGUAAAAGCAUGCUAGUUUUUCUCAUUCCACUUCUUCACUGAAGCUUCUUAAGAAAAUGAGAUACAAUAAAUCCAUUUAGGAUUAUGUUGAAAAAGCAUUUCUGCUUUUAAUAUUAACCAGAUUUUUACUGCUAAGUUUUGCUGGCAAAUCUCUGAAAGUUUCAGCUUGCAACUUAUCCGGAUCACUUAAAUCUACAACACUGGCUUUGCAGCCUUGCAAGAACAUCUGUUUUGAUUUCCAAUGCUAUCUUUUUUAGUCCUAGAACACUCUUCUUUAGUGUGAGAUUUUUUCAGAAUCUUAAAGGGCCUUAGUUUUAACUCCAAAACAUAAUGAAUAUCAGGAGGAAGUACCUCAGUGUAGUGUUUCAUGUGCUAGUACUUUCACUGAAUAUAUUGUGUAAAUGGACAAAGAAAUAG